rnacentral:lncRNA from 1 species
UUUAGUGCUAUUAACGCAGGGAGGCCUGUUGUUCCUCAGAUAACAAGGUGCCUAGACUGCAGUCAUUGUAUCACCCUUCUCUGUCCCCACCAAAUCCAAAUGGUCCCUGUAAAGGCCACAACCUUUUCCAGUGCAUGUGCUCCUGUCACUCCUCCUGACCACGCCCCUUAGGGGCGGGGCCUCCUGGCUGAGCUCCAAGUCUCCACCCUCCUGCUGGUUCAGGUGGUAUCUCCUCCUCUCACCCAGAGUGAAGGGAUGAUGUGGUAUCUGGUCAUUAACUUAUUCUCAAAUGAUUCAAAGACAAAAAGAUCUUUGUUUUCCAUUUUCAACUUUGUGUAAAUUUUCUAUCUUUUCAAAACAAAGAAACACUUUAAAACUGAAAGGUCUGAGUUUUAGGGACCCUAGAAGGGAAUUACCUU